CAGAAGCAGCGUGAGUGGCAGUCUGACGCUCCCUCACAGAUUAACGCACCCUGACGCCUCUAAUCUGAUCACCCAGCCAUCUAGUGCUGUAACAGGUGUACAGCAUUCCAUAUUGGGAGCAACACAUUUUUUUCUCCCUAUAAAGAAACACCUGCUAAAAGGAGGGUCUCACUACAGGCCUGGAGGGACGGCAGGGCAGCACAAGCAGGAUGCUUGGGGAUUUGGUUAUCAAUUGUUGCUUGGCAACCACACACCAUCUCUCGUGUCCUCUCACCCUUCUCUCCUCCCUUCCCCCCCAUUUCUCUCUUUGUCUCUCCCAUCCCCAACUCUCCCCCUGCUCUCACUGUACUGCACUGUUGCUCUCCCCCCCUCAGUUUUUUCCACUAUUCUCAUCCCUUCACUCCCUGUCACACCACCCUCUCCACAUUCUCUCUCAAUGCACCUUUCACACUCAUUUCCCCCAGCAGAGGAACAGAUGCACCUGCUGAUGGGAUGGAGACAAGAAAGUGAAUGGUGAGAACCGGAGAGGUGGCGUGGAGGAACAUAAUAGCAAAGAGCUGUGUGAAGAGGAUGGAGAGGUAGAGGCCUCCUCUGCAGACAUUCAAUACUUUUUUUAUUAAUUGGGAACAUCUUACACUACAUCCCGAAUAGGAAGAAAUGUCAGACUAAUGCCUGCACUGUAACACCUCUCCACAUGUAUAUAGUCUAAGAAAUGGAUAGUAGUAAAAGACCAGAAUAAAAACUAAUGGCAUCUUUCUGACAGACCCUGACAGACAGUGUAUCUCUGU